GUGUAAGACCUUAGCGGGGAUAUGCGACCACAUCAUCUCUCUGUCGUCAGACUCUCUGGUUUCUCAGUCUGCCCAUCUGGAAGUGGUCCACCUCACCAGCAUCAUGCCAAGUGAAGGCCUGGGGAUGUACAUCAAAUCGACGUAUGAUGGUCUCCACGUUAUCACAGGAACCACAGAGAAUUCUCCGGCAGACCUGUGUAAGAAGAUCCACGCAGGGGACGAGGUGAUCCAAGUUAAUCACCAGACAGUGGUG